rnacentral:miRNA from 1 species
GUGCAUCUAGUGCAGAUAAU